UGCAAGUCGAGCGGAACAGAUGGGGAGCUUGCUCCCGUGAUGUUAGCGUGCGCGACGGGUGAGUAACACGGGGGUAACCGGCCUGUAAGACUAGGAUAACUCCGGGAAACCGGGGCUAAUACCGGAUGCUUGUUUGAACCGCAUGGUUCAAACAUAAAAGGUGGCUUCGGCUACCACUUACAGAUGGACCCGCGGCGCAUUAGCUAGUUGGUGAGGUAAUGGCUCACCAAGGCAACGAUGCGUAGCCGACCUGAGAGGGUGAUCGGCCACACUGGGACUGAGACACGGCCCAGACUCCUACGGGAGGCAGCAGUAGGGAAUCUUCCGCAAUGGACGAAAGUCUGACGGAGCAACGCCGCGUGAGUGAUGAAGGUUUUCGGAUCGUAAAGCUCUGUUGUUAGGGAAGAACAAGUACCGUUCGAAUAGGGCGGUACCUUGACGGUACCUAACCAGAAAGCCACGGCUAACUACGUGCCAGCAGCCGCGGUAAUACGUAGGUGGCAAGCGUUGUCCGGAAUUAUUGGGCGUAAAGGGCUCGCAGGCGGUUUCUUAAGUCUGAUGUGAAAGCCCCCGGCUCAACCGGGGAGGGUCAUUGGAAACUGGGGAACUUGAGUGCAGAAGAGGAGAGUGGAAUUCCACGUGUAGCGGUGAAAUGCGUAGAGAUGUGGAGGAACACCAGUGGCGAAGGCGACUCUCUGGUCUGUAACUGACGCUGAGGAGCGAAAGCGUGGGGAGCGAACAGGAUUAGAUACCCUGGUAGUCCACGCCGUACACGAUGAGUGCUAAGUGUUAGGGGGUUUCCGCCCCUUAGUGCUGCAGCUAACGCAUUAAGCACUCCGCCUGGGGAGUACGGUCGCAAGACUGAGACUCACAGGAAUUGACGGGGGCCCGCACAACCGGUGGAGCAUGUGGUUUUAUUUCGAA
rnacentral:rRNA from 1 species